CACUAGAGGGCAUCAGCUCUUUUAGUCUGAACACCUUUGACAACAGCGACACCAGAUCAGCACAGGUACACCGUUUUACUGGCGUCAAGUUGAGCUCCAGUAGCAGAUGACAGCUCAGUGACAGACUCAUAAUGUCAGUCAACAGCAGAUAUUACAGCCCGACAGUGAAGAAAAGCCACACCAAGUGCAGAAAUAGAGAGUAACGCGACUCACCUCAGUGAAGAUACACACGUGUGUCUGUUGUGUUUCUGCUGCAGAUCUUUGAGCUGCGCUCAACAGCUGACGCUCCUCCACACGCUCCUCCACAUCCAGGCGGAUUCACAGCUCCAGGAAAGCUCACACACAGGUCAGCAGUCCAACAUCAGUUCCAGCAAGUGUUCAGACAUGGAGAUCUGUGGCUCUGUGGUAAGAGCGCUGCCCCACGGCUUCAGGGGUUGCUGGUUCAAGGCCAGCCAGAACUCUGCGAUAUGAGUGAAUGGUGAGUGAGUGUGAGGCGCGCCUGAAGAAGGGGGGAUACCAGU